CAUUCCCACUAGCAGGAUAUGAGAAUUCCUUUUGAUCCACACCCAUACAUUUGAUGUUAACGUUUUUUAUUUAAGCCAUUCUCAUGGGAUGGAAUACAGAUGAGAUGCAUUCUUUAUAGUGAAGUGAUUGAUGAUGUGUCCUUGUAUUGUAAACUCAGGGACUCUUUCUCUUCUGCUUCAUGAAAGGAUCCUGACCCUGGAUUGGCCACACAAUUUUUCCUAGCAGUUGGGAGGAAGAUUGAAAUAAUGACAAUUAAGUCUGACUUUCCAGGGUUGCAUAGUCUGACCCAGAAAUAUAAGGCAUUAACAAAAAAGAAAUGACUUAUUAUGUAACUGAAGAAUAAUAAUGUGUCUGAAAGACAGAGCCAUUUGUCUCUGGAUACCAGGAUGCUAAUUUCCUGGCAAUUGGCCAAUUAUCUACUGGAAUUUUGAAACAUAUCUUGUGGCCUCUGGAGCCUAUAAAGUCAUUGUAACAUUGUGCUUACUGUUCCCAGCACAUAACCAACCUUAAACUUGCCCAGAACUGUCUAGGAUUAGACGUGAACAAUGGAUUCAACCAACCUGUAAACUCAAAAACCAAGAGCAGAAUGUUUUUAAACCAGUACUUCUUUGGUUUUGAAUGAUCCAGAGUAGUUAUUUGCACCAUAUUCUUAAGAACCCCUGCUUCUUAAUAAGAUCUAUGGGAUCUUGACAGCAUGUCUUGAGUAUCACUUUCAUUCUAAUUGCCUAAUGUGUAAGUUACACAUAAUAGAAU